UACGUAGGGUGCGAGCGUUGUCCGGAAUUAUUGGGCGUAAAGGGCUCGUAGGCGGUUUGUCGCGUCUAUCGUGAAAAUCCGGGGCUCAACCCCGGACUUGCGGUGGGUACGGGCAGACUAGAGUGUGGUAGGGGAGACUGGAAUUCCUGGUGUAGCGGUGAAAUGCGCAGAUAUCAGGAGGAACACCGAUGGCGAAGGCAGGUCUCUGGGCCACUACUGACGCUGAGAAGCGAAAGCAUGGGGAGCGAACAGG
rnacentral:rRNA from 1 species